rnacentral:misc_RNA from 1 species
GAACGCACAUUGCGCCCCUUGGUAUUCCGAGGAGCAUGCCCGUUCGAGCGUCAUUAUAACCCCUCAAGCCUGGCUUGGUGUUGGAGCAUGCUUUUGCAGCUCUUAAAAUCAGUGGCAGUGCCCGUUGGCUCUAAGCGUAGUAAUACUCCUCGCUAUAGAACCCGGUGGACAUGCGCCAGAACCCCAAAUUUUCUAUGGUUGACCUCGGAUCAGGUAGGGAUACCCGCUGAACUUAAG